rnacentral:rRNA from 1 species
UACGUAGGCAGCAAGCGUUGUUCGGAGUUACUGGGCGUAAAGGGUGCGUAGGCGGUCCUAUAAGUAUGGUGUGAAAUCUCCCGGCUUAACUGGGAGGGUGCGCUAUAGACUGUGGGACUAGAGUGUGGGAGAGGAAAGUGGAAUUCCUGGUGUAGCGGUGAAAUGCGUAGAUAUCAGGAGGAACACCGGGUGGUGUAAACGGCUUUCUGGACCAUAAACUGACGCUGAGGCACGAAAGCGUGGGUAGCAAACAGG